rnacentral:rRNA from 1 species
GACGAACGCUGGCGGUAGGCCUAACACAUGCAAGUCGAACGCCCGUAGCAAUACGGGAGUGGCAGACGGGUGAGUAACGCGUGGGAACGUGCCCUUCGGUUCGGAAUAACUCAGGGAAACUUGAGCUAAUACCGGAUACGUCCGUAAGGAGAAAGAUUUAUCGCCGAAGGAUCGGCCCGCGUCGGAUUAGCUAGUUGGUGAGGUAACGGCCCACCAAGGCGACGAUCCGUAGCUGGUCUGAGAGGAUGAUCAGCCACACUGGGACUGAGACACGGCCCAGACUCUACGGGAGGCAGCAGUGGGAAUAUUGGACAAUGGGCGAAAGCCUGAUCCAGCCAUGCCGCGUGAGUGAAGAAGGCCUUAGGGUUGUUAAAG